ensembl:lncRNA
AUGUAUGAUGCCGAUCGCAUAUAUGUGACUAUUAGGAGUCAAAGUUAUAGCGCCACCAACUGGCAGCAGGAAGUGUGUCAUUUUCAAAAUGCUUUGAAUUCAGCAUCUUAUUUUCACUCGAUUUGCAUCAAACUUCAUCGGAUUGUUCGAUGUAUGAUGCCGAUCGCAUAGAUGUGACUAUUAGGAGUCAAAGUUAUAGCGCCACCAACUGGCAGCAGGAAGUGUGUCAUUUUCAAAAUGCUUUGAAUUCAGCAUCUUAUUUUUACUCGAUUUGCUUCAAACUUCAUCAGAAUAAUGACAAAACACGGCCGAUGUAAAUCUGUUGUGGGGAUAUUGAUAUCUAAUAUAGUGUUGCCAUGGCAACGUGUCAAACUUGAAUAUUCUAUUCUGGUGAUUUUGAGGCAGAUAAAAUGCUCAGAAUUACAUGAAACUCAAAACACAUAUCAGUAUUAAUGAUAGCUAGACAAUGGAAAAAAAGCACAUGAAAAGGGCGUGGAGGAGGCACUCUAUAGCGCCACCUUUUUGUCAAAAAGUCGGGGGUUAGUUUUUAGCUACAGACACCAAACUCGGUACAUAUAUUGUUCUUAUCAAGACGGACAACUUUCUAAUUUACAGUCAUCAGCUACGACCAACAGGAAGUCGGCUAUUUUGGUUUAAAUGUGGAUUUUUGGAAAAAUAUUGCUGUGAAUUAAUGCAUACUACUCAGAGGAAAAUUACACUAUACACACCAAACUUUUGUCUACAUGAUGACAAAACA